UGGGGAAUAUUGGACAAUGGGGGCAACCCUGAUCCAGCCAUGCCGCGUGAGUGAUGAAGGCCCUAGGGUUGUAAAGCUCUUUCGGCGGGGACGAUAAUGACGGUACCCGCAGAAGAAGCCCCGGCUAACUUCGUGCCAGCAGCCGCGGUAAUACGAAGGGGGCUAGCGUUGCUCGGAAUCACUGGGCGUAAAGCGCACGUAGGCGGAUCUUUAAGUCAGAGGUGAAAUCCCAAGGCUCAACCUUGGAACUGCCUUUGAUACUGGGGAUCUCGAGUCCGGAAGAGGUUGGUGGAACUCCGAGUGUAGAGGUGAAAUUCGUAGAUAUUCGGAAGAACACCAGUGGCGAAGGCGGCCAACUGGUCCGGUACUGACGCUGAGGUGCGAAAGCGUGGGGAGCAAACAGG
rnacentral:rRNA from 3 species